GUCUGAUUAGUUUAGAGGAGAAAAUAUCGGCAUCCGACGCCGAAGAUCACAGGUUCGAGUCCUGUAUCAGACAC
rnacentral:tRNA from 1 species